GACGGAGGAUGCAAGCGUUUAUCCGGAAUGAUUGGGCGUAAAGCGUCCGCAGGUGGCAGUUCAAGUCUGCUGUCAAAGACCGGGGCUUAACUUCGGAAAGGCAGUGGAAACUGAACAGCUAGAGUAUGGUAGGGGCAGAGGGAAUUCCUGGUGUAGCGGUGAAAUGCGUAGAGAUCAGGAAGAACAUCGGUGGCGAAGGCGCUCUGCUGGACCAUAACUGACACUCAGGGACGAAAGCUAGGGGAGCGAAUGGG
rnacentral:rRNA from 1 species